GCCCAGACUCCUACGGGAGGCAGCAGUGAGGAAUAUUGGUCAAUGGACGAGAGGCUGAACCAGCCAAGUCGCGUGAGGGAUGACGGCCCUACGGGUUGUAAACCUCUUUUGUCGGGGAGCAAAGAGAGUCACGUGUGGCUCAUUGAGAGUACCCGAAGAAAAAGCAUCGGCUAACUCCGUGCCAGCAGCCGCGGUAAUACGGAGGAUGCGAGCGUUAUCCGGAUUUAUUGGGUUUAAAGGGUGCGUAGGCGGGAUGCCAAGUCAGCGGUAAAAAUGCGGUGCUCAACGCCGUCGAGCCGUUGAAACUGGCGUUCUUGAGUGGGCGAGAAGUAUGCGGAAUGCGUGGUGUAGCGGUGAAAUGCAUAGAUGUCACGCAGAACUCCGAUUGCGAAGGCAGCAUACCGGCGCCCUACUGACGCUGAGGCACGAAAGCGUGGGUAUCGAACAGGAUUAGAUACCCCUGUA
rnacentral:rRNA from 1 species